UACGAGGGGGGCGAGCGUUGUUCGGAAUUAUUGGGCGUAAAGGGUGCGUAGGCGGUUGGUAAGUCUGAUGUGAAAUCUAUGGGCUCAACUCAUAGUCUGCAUCGGAAACUGCCGGGCUUGAGUAUGGGAGAGGUGAGUGGAAUUCCUGGUGUAGCGGUGAAAUGCGUAGAUAUCAGGAGGAACACCUGUGGCGAAAGCGGCUCACUGGACCAUAACUGACGCUGAUGCACGAAAGCUAGGGGAGCAAACAGG
rnacentral:rRNA from 1 species